rnacentral:tRNA from 1 species
GGGCCCGUAUCCCAGCGGCAAGAGGACGCCGGUUUAGAUCCGGUGCGUCGUGGGUUCGAAUCCCACCGGGCCCA